rnacentral:rRNA from 1 species
UACGAAGGGGGCUAGCGUUGCUCGGAAUCACUGGGCGUAAAGCGCACGUAGGCGGAUUGCUAAGUCAGGGGUGAAAUCCUGGAGCUCAACUCCAGAACUGCCUUUGAUACUGGCGACCUUGAGUCCGGGAGAGGUGAGUGGAACUGCGAGUGUAGAGGUGAAAUUCGUAGAUAUUCGCAAGAACACCAGUGGCGAAGGCGGCUCACUGGCCCGGUACUGACGCUGAGGUGCGAAAGCUAGGGUAGCAAACAGG